rnacentral:rRNA from 1 species
AUUGAACGCUGGCGGCAUGCCUUACACAUGCAAGUCGAACGGUAACGGGCCUUCGGGUGCCGACGAGUGGCGAACGGGUGAGUAAUAUAUCGGAACGUACCUUUCAGUGGGGGAUAACGUAGCGAAAGUUACGCUAAUACCGCAUAUUCUGUGCGCAGGAAAGCAGGGGACCUUCGGGCCUUGCGCUGAUUGAGCGGCCGAUAUCAGAUUAGCUAGUUGGUGAGGUAAAGGCUCACCAAGGCGACGAUCUGUAGCGGGUCUGAGAGGAUGAUCCGCCACACUGGAACUGAGACACGGUCCAGACUCCUACGGGAGGCAGCAGUGGGGAAUUUUGGACAAUGGGGGCAACCCUGAUCCAGCCAUGCCGCGUGAGUGAAGAAGGCCUUCAGGUUGUAAAGCUCUUUCGGCCGGGAAGAAAUCGUAUGGGCUAAUACCCUGUGCGGAUGACGGUACCGGCAUAAGAAGCACCGGCUAACUACGUGCCAGCAGCCGCUGUAACAC